AUACGGAGGGUGCAAGCGUUGUUCGGAAUUAUUGGGCGUAAAGCGCGCGUAGGCGGUCCAUUAAGUGUGCGGUGAAAUUCAGAGGCUCAACCUCUGUCCCGCCGCGCAAACUGGUGGUCUUGAGAUUGGGAGGGGGAUGCGGAAUUCCUGGUGUAGCGGUGAAAUGCAUUGAUAUCAGGAGGAACACCGGCGGCGAAAGCGGCAUCCUGGCUUAUAUCUGACGCUGAGGCGCGAAAGCGUGGGUAGC
rnacentral:rRNA from 1 species